rnacentral:rRNA from 1 species
CGGGGGGGGCAAGCGUUGUUCGGAAUUACUGGGCGUAAAGGGCGCGUAGGCGGGCUGUUAAGUCGGAUGUGAAAACUCUGGGCUCAACCCAGAGCCUGCAUCCGAAACUGGCAGGCUAGAGUUCUGGAGGGGGUAGCGGAAUUCCUGGUGUAGCGGUGAAAUGCGUAGAUAUCAGGAGGAACACCGGUGGCGAAGGCGGCUACCUGGACAGAAACUGACGCUGAGGCGCGAAAGCUAGGGGAGCAAACAGGAUUAGAUACCCUGGUAGUCCUAGCCCUAAACGAUGGAUACUUGGUGUGACGGGGAUUGAAUCCCGUCGUGCCGAAGCUAACGCAUUAAGUAUCCCGCCUGGGGAUACGGUCGCAAGGCUG